rnacentral:lncRNA from 1 species
AUUGUUUUCUAGAGUUCCCAUCGUGGCUCAGCAGUAAUGAACCCGACUAGUAGCCAUGAGGAUGCUGGUUCAAUCCCUGGCCUCUCUCAGUGGGUUAAGGACCCUGUGUUGCCAUGAGCUGUGGUGUAAGUCACAGAGGGGGCUCAGAUCCCGCGUUGCUGUGGCUGUGGCAUAGGCCGGCGGCACAGCUCCCCUUCGAACCCUCGCCUGGGAACCUCCCUCCAUAUCCCGCGGAUGCAGCUACAAAAAGCAAAUAAAUAAAUAAAUAAAUAAAUAAAUAAAUAAAUAAAUAAAUGCUUACUUAUUAUCUUUGUAAAUUAGUGGGGAGAAAAAGCCAUUUCCAUAUGGGAACCCCAAGGACCCAGGCCUGGGGACCCUGAGCAAAUCAAUGGGGCACAGCACGUGGCUCACUGCCCUGCGCGUCCCCAGAGAGGAAGGACCAUUCUGGACGGUUUCUUGGUCCCCGGUCCCCGGACAGUACUCGCACCAGGACCGCUGCCAGGGCCUGGAGAGAGCGGAUCCAGCGUCCCAGCUCCGGAUCCAGCUUCCCAGCUCCGAGGCUCCUCAGACAGAAGAGGGCGGGGCCUCGUUCUUCCCUCCUGCCCCCAGGCUGCCAGGCUGCGUUUCAUAGUUUGAUUGAAAGUGUGCCAUCCCGUCUGUCUCUCCGCAAACAAAUGGAAUAUUCUGAGCUUCCAGCAUUUGGAGGCACACAGCUUGCAUCUUUUCCUGAAGAAAAAUAAAUAGCAUGUGUGGUUAACAACCGAGUCCUGAUGGAGAAAACAAUGCUGCCGACCAGAAGCCCUUGCGCAACCGGGGCCGCAGACGCCAGGCAGGUAGCUGAGCUUCGGCUCCUCUGCAAUGCCAAGUCCAUCCACUGUCAGAAGACCCCUCCUCCUCUGCCACCAGCUCACCCACACCCAUCCAGGACCCUGGCUUGCAGGGCUGUCCAUGUCUGUUUACAAACCGCAGGAGAGAAAGCAGCUCAAGGCAUAGGUCAAGCUGCAGAGCUUUUUGGAACAAGGGGUUUAAAACCUACCUUUUUUUGGAAUAAUCCCAGCUCCCAACUCUGGGAGAAACAAAUACAAACCAGAAUUCUCUGGCUGCGGUCUGUCUGAAUAUCUGGACACUUUUCCCAGCAUGUGACAUCCUCUUCCGUCCAGACUUCAAGGUUAAAAAUAGCCUGGCAAACCCUUUGAACUAUUGUCUCUUUCAAACACAAUAUGGAUUGUAUGUGUGUUUACCACUUGGAAGAAACGCUUUGUGACACAAGACAUGCUGACAGGGUGUUUCAGGCUAAGGGUGGAGGAGGGUGUCCACGGACUUGUUGAAUUUACACUAAAUACAUACACACACCUGUUCCCACGCACCCAGGCUGCUCCUGCCUGGUACAACCAUUCCCAAGCGGCUGCUAAGACUGUAACAACCCUGUGGGGUGAUCCAAUUGACCAAAACUCAGCAGGAAGCCCCAUUGUCUUCCUCCCUCCAAUAGAUCAGCAAAACGCGUGAUCAGGAAGAUUUUCUCUCUCUCUCUCUCUUCUCUCUCUCUCUCUCUCUCUCUCUCUUUUUUUUUUUUUUUUUGGCCACCCUGCGGCAUAUCAAGUUCCCAGGCCAGGGAUAAGAUCCGAGCUGCAGUUGCAACCUAAGCCACAGCUUCAGCAAUGUCAGAUCCUUAACCCACUGUGCUGGACCGGGGAUCGAACUCUCACCCCAGCACUCCCAAGACACUGCCCAUCCCAUUGCGCCACAGCAGGAAAUCUGGGAAGAAUUUUAAGAAGUGGCCAUCUUAAAAUUUCUAACUGCCUUUCUGGUCCCAGCAGAUUUUUGUUCAAGAAAGAAUCACUAGGUAACCUUCUCUCUUUAAAGGCCCUGGGCCUUAAGAAAGGCCUCUCCUUCUAGAACCACUCUCCAUGCAGAGGUGGCUGCUGGCAGGACCUGAGAACCUUUGCUGUGGAGCCAGAACGCCUCCCUGGGAGCACAGGGGUGGGGAACUGGCCUGAGUUUUUGAGGUUCACAAUCCUAGAGCCUCUUGGUUGGACUGGAACAUUCUGGCCAUGGUCAGCUGGCAGGACAGGAGCAAGAGCUUCUCAGAAAAUGGGCAUUUGACUGGCAAAGCCA